GUCGUUGCAGACCCCAUUGACAGCCUCCAGCUCCAAGCACUCCUCUGGGGCCACGGUGGCCAACAUGGCUUCUCUUUCAUAAUGCAGUCUCUCCGCUUCAUCGUAUUUGUGCUUGUCUACCCAGACCUUUUCUAUGGGGCAGGGAGGCUUCCUGGUCCUCAUCUGCAAGGUCAGAGAGAAAGAGGGCACACCGGCAGCGCUGAGCCCUCCCGCUCCGCACCGCUCCGCUCGGCCUCCGCGGGGCAAAAGGAGAGCGGCGCUCCGCGCGCGGGGCAUUGUGGGGGCGGAGCGGACCACUCGCGGCUGUAGCGCGGGGGGGGGGUGGAUCAAAAAAAAAAAUACCGCGCACGUUUCGACGUUGAAAGGCGGUGAGAGAGAAUCGCGCUUUCUUCAAUAGAUUUAUUAGACCGCGUGAAGAGCGUGGGGUGAGAGAAGAGAGAGAGAAGAGUGGGAAAAGGAAGGGUGACAAAGGAGAUUGCCCCCCUUGCGCGUGGAGUGGUACAUUCCAAAUGCAUAGGGAGUGCAGAGGGAGAGUC
rnacentral:lncRNA from 1 species